rnacentral:rRNA from 1 species
AGAGUUUGAUCCUGGCUCAGGAUGAACGCUGGCGGCGUGCCUAAUACAUGCAAGUAGAACGCUGAAGCUUGGUGCUUGCACCGAGCGGAUGAGUUGCGAACGGGUGAGUAACGCGUAGGUAACCUGCCUCUUAGCGGGGGAUAACUAUUGGAAACGAUAGCUAAUACCGCAUAAAAGUCGAUAUCGCAUGAUAUUGAUUUGAAAGGUGCAAAUGCAUCACUAAGAGAUGGACCUGCGUUGUAUUAGCUAGUUGGUGAGGUAACGGCUCACCAAGGCGACGAUACAUAGCCGACCUGAGAGGGUGAUCGGCCACACUGGGACUGAGACACGGCCCAGACUCCUACGGGAGGCAGCAGUAGGGAAUCUUCGGCAAUGGGGGCAACCCUGACCGAGCAACGCCGCGUGAGUGAAGAAGGUUUUCGGAUCGUAAAGCUCUGUUGUAAGUCAAGAACGAGUGUGAGAGUGGAAAGUUCACACUGUGACGGUAGCUUACCAGAAAGGGACGGCUAACUACGUGCCAGCAGCCGCGGUAAUACGUAGGUCCCGAGCGUUGUCCGGAUUUAUUGGGCGUAAAGCGAGCGCAGGCGGUUUGAUAAGUCUGAAGUUAAAGGCUGUGGCUCAACCAUAGUUCGCUUUGGAAACUGUCAAACUUGAGUGCAGAAGGGGAGAGUGGAAUUCCAUGUGUAGCGGUGAAAUGCGUAGAUAUAUGGAGGAACACCGGUGGCGAAAGCGGCUCUCUGGUCUGUAACUGACGCUGAGGCUCGAAAGCGUGGGGAGCAAACAGGAUUAGAUACCCUGGUAGUCCACGCCGUAAACG